GAACUCCCGAACAACAGGUCUGAAAUCCCAACUCCCAGUGCAGUUCUACAUCACCCUCACCUGAGAUGCUUAGCCAGUGAGAUUCCUCCAUUAGACCCCAGUGCCCAGAUACUGCUGUUGCUAGGGAGAGACAUUUUGAGUAUACACAAGAUCAGAAAACAGAUCAACGGCCCCGACAAUGCCCCAUUCGCUCAAAAGCUAGACCUAGGCUGGGUGGUGAUAGGCGAUGUGUGCCUCGGCACAGCACACCGCCCCUCCUCAGUCACUUCACUAAAAACAUGUAUCUUGGGAGAUGGCCGCCCCAGCUACCUCACACCCUGCUCCAGCCACCUGCGUGUGAAAGACCCUCCACACAGCCACUCAGUCCUUCAUGAUCCUCCAUCUCAGCAAGCCGCCGUUCACACUGCUUCUCUGCUGCACGGGGAUCACCUGAAGUCCUCCGUCUUCCACUGCACCGACAAAGAUCACCAACCUGCUCCGUCCAUCGAUGAUCUCAACUUCCUGAGGAUCAUGGAUACUGAGGUAUAUCAAGAUAGCACUCAAAACUGGGUCGCACCCCUACCUUUUCGGACCCCGAGAGAACGUCUGCCAAACAACAGAGACUAUGCCAUGAAAAGACUCAAGUCAGUCUGCUGCACACUAGAGAAGAAACCUGACAUGAAAGAACAUUACAUGCAGUUCAUGCAAAAGAUGAUUGACAGUCAACAUGCAGAGAAUGCCCCCGUCCUCCAAGAAGGACAAGAAAGCUGGUAUUUGCCAUCCUUCGGCAUCUACCAUCCCAAGAAACCCGAACAGAUUCGAAUAGUGUUCGAUUCAAGUGCUCAGUAUGAAGGGAUUUCACUGAACAGUGUCUUGCUCAAAGGCCCAGAUCAGAACAAUGACCUGUUAGGCGUCCUUAUCAGGUUUAGAAAAGAGAAAAUUGCUGUGACUGCAGAUAUUCAACACAUGUUUUACUGUUUUGUAGUCAAGGAGGAGCACAGAGACUACCUGAGGUUUCUAUGGUUCCGCGACAACAAAUGGGACAGUGACAUUGUAGACUACAGAAUGCGUGUGCAUGUGUUUGGCAACACACCGUCUCCUGCUGUAGCAAUCUACUGCCUCAGGAGAGCAGCGAAAGAAGCAGAAUCUGAAUUCGGCUCUGAUGUCAGAGCAUUCAUCGAGAGAGACUUUUAUGUCGACGAUGCUCUGAAGUCGUUUGCAACAGAGUCCGAGGCCAUCAACUUGGUGAAGAGGGCACAGGAGAUGCUCUUCCACAACAGCCUCCGGUUGCACAAGAUCACAUCAAACAGUGCAGCUGUCGUGGCUGAAUUCCCCCCUGAAGACCUUGCAAACAGCAUUAAAGACCUGGACUUUGCCACGGAUAACGUCCCUGUGCAGCGCAGCCUGGGUAUAAGCUGGAACAUAGUCACAGACGCAUUCACCUUUCAAGUACAGCAAGACGACAAACCUUUCACACGCAGAGGCGUGCUCUCAACCAUAAACAGCAUCUUUGAUCCGCUCGGCUUUCUCUCACCUGUCACUAUACAGGGGAGAUCGUUGCUGAGAGAGCUGACCAUAGAAAACGGUGAGUGGGACGCGCCAUUACCUGGACACCUCCAAGCGGAGUGGGUGAGAUGGAAGUCCUCCCUUCAAUGCCUUCAAGACAUACAGAUCCCCCGCUGCUACACAUCUCUCUCCACCUCUGCAGCAAGCACGAGAGAGUUGUGUGUGUUUGCGGAUGCUUCAACCAAAGCAAUCGCAGCGGUUGCCUACUUGAAGGUGACCGAUGAAAAUGGAUGCUCUGAAGUCGGAUUCGUGCUUGGCAAAGCAAAGCUGGCACCAGUGAAGGAGACUACAAUCCCCAGACUCGAACUCUGUGCUGCAGUCCUUGCGGUUGAGAUAGCUGAGACUGUUGUGAGUAGCAUGGACUCGCACAUGAACUCUGUCACUUUCUAUUCUGACAGCAAAGUUGUGUUAGGUUAUAUUAACAAUGAGCAGAGAAGAUUUUAUGUUUAUGUAAGCAACAGGGUCCAACGCAUCAGACAAGCAACGUCACCCCAACAGUGGAAGUAUGUUCCC
ensembl:lncRNA